rnacentral:lncRNA from 1 species
CAACAUCUUCAUUGCCCUCCAAGACGUUCUCCACAGAGACCUCAUUCUCCUCUGCUCACAUCCAAGUGGAUGAUCAUUGCAAAAGAAAAGCAUACAACAUGGCACAAACACAAGCAAAUGAAAGGGUGAGCUAAUUAUAUAAAAAAAAGCAUGCUAUUAACAAUAAAUAACAUUCAAGAACAAACUCAAAAUCAAGUAAAGUAAGACACACAUCCUAUACAUGUUAUUUUCUAGACUUGACUCGUCCGGACUUUAAAAUGAGAGUCGGGCUAUGGCGAGUCUUGCACCCGUGGUGACUUAUGAAACUUGGGUUUCCCACCCUGCCACACUCACGAGGUUAGUCCGUUUCGGGCCUUGAGGCAUACUGGGAGACCCCAAGACUAAGGACCUCCUGCUACUUCUCACCACAUGGUUCAACCUCUCUAAGUGAGUUUGAUUGACCAUUGAAGCGUCAGAAUGACUCCCAAGGCUGAGCCCCUACUUUCAUUUUAAAACACUAAGAAUCUCACCGAGAGAUUCUACACAGAUAGAACUUAGUUUACCACUUGGAUCAUACUUUCAUCACUUUGUAAUCAUAUACUUUUU